rnacentral:rRNA from 1 species
AGCGAACGCUGGCGGCAGGCUUAACACAUGCAAGUCGAACGAACCCUUCGGGGUUAGUGGCGGACGGGUGAGUAACACGUGGGAACGUGCCCUUAGGUUCGGAACAACACAGGGAAACUUGUGCUAAUACCGGAUAAGCCCUUACGGGGAAAGAUUUAUCGCCUUUGGAGCGGCCCGCGUCUGAUUAGCUUGUUGGUGAGGUAAAGGCUCACCAAGGCUACGAUCAGUAGCUGGUCUGAGAGGANGGCCAGCCACAUUGGGACUGAGACACGGCCCAAACUCCUACGGGAGGCAGCAGUGGGGAAUCUUGCGCAAUGGGGGAAACCCUGACGCAGCCAUGCCGCGUGGAUGAUGAAGGUCUUAGGAUUGUAAAAUCCUUUCAGCGGGACGAUAAUGACGGUACCCGCAGAAGAAGCCCCGGCUAACUUCGUGCCAGCCGCCGCGGUAAG